UACGGGGGGGGCAAGCGUUGUUCGGAAUUACUGGGCGUAAAGGGCUCGUAGGCGGCCAACUAAGUCGGACGUGAAAUCCCCAGGCUCAACCUGGGAACUGCGUCCGAUACUGGAUGGCUUGAAUCCGGGAGAGGGAUGCAGAAUUCCAGGUGUAGCGGUGAAAUGCGUAGAUAUCUGGAGGAAUACCGGUGGCGAAGGCGGCAUCCUGGACCGGAACUGACGCUGAGGCGGCGAAAGCGUGGGGAGCAAACAGG
rnacentral:rRNA from 1 species